GCAGACCAUUCUAAAACCCCUCUUCUUGCAUCCUGAGAACUCUCUAGUAUCUCUCUAGUUGUACUUUGCGUUUUCUAUUAGCCCUCCUCUUCUCUCUUUUUUUUUUUCACUUCAUCAAAUAAAAUUCAUUCACCUAAACCCUAUGGUCGACGGAGCCAAAGCCAAAGGCAACGCAACCUUCUCCUCUGGCGGCAAUUCACCACUUCUCUGAUGCCAUCGCCUUGGCCUCUACCAGCCAUGUCCUCUAUUCCAAUCGAUCUGCCGCAUACACUUCUCUCAAAAACUACAUCGAGAAGAAGGGAAUAUAUAAGAAGAGCGGCGGAGCUAAAGGAGUAAGCAUAGUAGACGAGAAAGGAGAGGAAGAGAAUCAAAAGAAAGUAAGCAAGCAGGAAAGGGGAACAAGCAGUUGUUGAGGCCUGGCACCGGUCCCAAGCCAAUUCUCGGUUAGAACAUCACCAUUCACUGCACUGGUUUCGAAUAUUGAGAAAGGGCAGAAGUACAAAGUAGUCUUCUAUGCUAAAGCAGAUGGUGCAAUUAAUCUAGACGUUUCAUUUGUUGGAUCGGAGAAAGGUGAAAAGUUGGCUUCAAAUGGAGAGUUGCCUCCAGGAGCUGGAGUUAUUCCUAGGGCUGUCAAGCAGAUUUUUGACACAUUUGAGAGCCAGAAUGCUGAGUACAGUGUGAAGGUCACCUUUUUGGAAUUGUAUAAUGAAGAAAUCACUGAUUUGCUUGCCCCGGAGGAAAUAAGUUUGUCUUUUCUUUAUUUAUAUUUAUGAUAUAUUAAAUUCCUUUUCAUAUAGGGAUGUGGCGGGGGUUUUAUUAGAAUUAUCUAAGGAGUUCAAUAUUAAAAAUUUUCUCCUUGUACUUUUGGACUCCCUGAUUGACUACAGGUGUGCUUCCUAUGAUUGUCCUUCAGGAGAUAUAUGCUUUAAGUAAUAUCUUAUAGAAGCUUGUGUUUUGUGCUGAUAAAUGGAAAGAUGUAAUAUUAUUAAUGAUGUCUCUUAGAACUCUUGAAGGCUCUUUUAAGCCAACACAUUAUCUUUUAUUUCAAUAUAUAUAUAUUAUUUUCUACCGUCUUAA